CUGGAUACUAGGGCUGUCAAAAUUGCUCAAAAAUUACAUUCAAAUGUUCGUUUGGAAAAAAAUCACGAAUUCGAACUAUUCGAAUAUCUGGUUGCCUAUUUUACGCAGUUGCCGUCAAUAUGUCAAUAAUGCGACAAAACCAUGGUUCAAAUUAGUGGGAUAUAUAUAUAUCCUAUAAACAGCCCAGUAACGUGGAGGCCUAAUCAUGAAAAGCCACAACUUUGUAUCGCUUGCAUUUCACCACCACACCUGCAAGCGCGCAAACUAUAGUAAUCUGAAGAAGACGCCCGCUUCUGAAUGUUACAAAGUAUGCUAGUGGUAACGUUCCUUGCUUUGCUUACCAUUUAUCGAGAAGGCCUAUUAAAAUCGAUAAAGAAAAAAAAUGCAUGUCGCCUACGUCUUCCACCAUGCCAGCGAAAGGGCCAGCACUACGCACCGUUCGGAUUCAUGAAAAAAAAGCUGUCUCGGACUUUGCCGAGAACAUUGCGUUAUAGCAGCUUUCACCAGUCAGACUACUAGCUCCCUGAGCUCUACUUCGGAUGCUUAUUGAAUGGCAUAGCCUAGCUGGAAUACCUAUAUCCAAGUACGGAAACCCC